AACCUUAUAGUAUAACGUAUAGUAUAUCGAUUAUUACGUUAAAGAUAUAGGUUCGAUUCCUAUUAAGGUUC